rnacentral:tRNA from 1 species
AUCAGAAUAGCGCAGCGGGAGCGCGCAAGCCUUCUAAGCUUGAAACGCAGGUUCGAAUCCUGCUUCUGAAGCCC